rnacentral:rRNA from 1 species
UAGAGUUUGAUCCUGGCUCAGGAUGAACGCUGGCGGCGUGCCUAAUACAUGCAAGUCGAGCGAACGGACGAGAGUGCUUGCACUCUCUGAUGUUAGCGGCGGACGGGUGAGUAACACGUGGGUAACCUACCUAUAAGACUGGGAUAACUUCGGGAAACCGGAGCUAAUACCGGAUAAUAUUUAGCUUCGCAUGAAGCAAUAGUGAAAGACGGUUCUGCUGUCACUUAUAGAUGGACCCGCGGUGUAUUAGCUAGUUGGUGAGGUAACGGCUCACCAAGGCAACGAUACAUAGCCGACCUGAGAGGGUGAUCGGCCACACUGGGACUGAGACACGGCCCAGACUCCUACGGGAGGCAGCAGUAGGGAAUCUUCCGCAAUGGACGAAAGUCUGACGGAGCAACGCCGCGUGAGUGAAGAAGGUUUUCGGAUCGUAAAACUCUGUUGUAAGGGAAGAACAAGUACGUUAGUAACUGAACGUAUCCUUGACGGUACCUUACCAGAAAGCCACGGGCUAACUNAC